CUUGCUUUUCACUUUUUCUCCUGUGCACAAAUAUUCCAGUAACCACUUUGUUCCACUAACCAUAGGCAUGAAACAAAGAUAAAUGAUCUGGUAGAUAUUGCUCGAUGUGUGGAAAAUACACCUUUAGAUGAUGAUCAGUCUGUGUCCUAUUUGCUCUCUUGCCUUGAAGAUAUGAAAGUUGUGACGGAACGCAGAAAGUUGGAAGCACUUACAGUGGAAACGUUGGGAAACCGGAUAGAAAAGCUGAUAAGGUUAGUCUGCAUGGAAAACAAGUUCUUUCACGGAAGAAUGACCAUGGUGAAGAAUUUCUAAUGCAUGCUUUUCCAUGUCAUUCAGUGAAUAGCAAGAUGAAGCAUGGGUUACCAGUUGCAGCUCUUAAACUCAAGAUUUUAUCCAAUCUCGCCAACAUGAACAUGUAGCAAGCUUAAGAAUGUACCUGUACAACUUUG